GGCAGGGGGGGCAGCUACACAUGCAAGUCGAGCGAACCUUCGGGUUAGCGGCGGACGGGUGAGUAACGCGUGGGAACGUACCCUCUUCUGCGGGAUAGCCACUGGAAACGGUGAGUAAUACCGCAUACGCCCUUCGGGGGAAAGAUUUAUCGGAGGAGGAUCGGCCCGCGUUGGAUUAGGUAGUUGGUGGGGUAAUGGCCUACCAAGCCUACGAUCCAUAGCUGGUUUUAGAGGAUGAUCAGCCACACUGGGACUGAGACACGGCCCAGACUCCUACGGGAGGCAGCAGUGGGGAAUCUUAGACAAUGGGCGCAAGCCUGAUCUAGCCAUGCCGCGUGAGUGACGAAGGCCUUAGGGUCGUAAAGCUCUUUCGCCAGAGAUGAUAAUGACAGUAUCUGGUAAAGAAACCCCGGCUAACUCCGUGCCAGCAGCCGCGGUAAUACGGAGGGGGUUAGCGUUGUUCGGAAUUACUGGGCGUAAAGCGCACGUAGGCGGAUUGGAAAGUUGGGGGUGAAAUCCCAGGGCUCAACCCUGGAACUGCCUCCAAAACUCCCAGUCUGGAGUUCGAGAGAGGUGAGUGGAAUUCCGAGUGUAGAGGUGAAAUUCGUAGAUAUUCGGAGGAACACCAGUGGCGAAGGCGGCUCACUGGCUCGAUACUGA
rnacentral:rRNA from 1 species